rnacentral:rRNA from 2 species
AAAUUGAAGAGUUUGAUCAUGGCUCAGAUUGAACGCUGGCGGCAGGCCUAACACAUGCAAGUCGAACGGUAACAGGAAACAGCUUGCUGUUUCGCUGACGAGUGGCGGACGGGUGAGUAAUGUCUGGGAAACUGCCCGAUGGAGGGGGAUAACUACUGGAAACGGUAGCUAAUACCGCAUAACGUCGCAAGACCAAAGAGGGGGACCUUCGGGCCUCUUGCCAUCGGAUGUGCCCAGAUGGGAUUAGCUAGUAGGUGGGGUAACGGCUCACCUAGGCGACGAUCCCUAGCUGGUCUGAGAGGAUGACCAGCCACACUGGAACUGAGACACGGUCCAGACUCCUACGGGAGGCAGCAGUGGGGAAUAUUGCACAAUGGGCGCAAGCCUGAUGCAGCCAUGCCGCGUGUAUGAAGAAGGCCUUCGGGUUGUAAAGUACUUUCAGCGG